rnacentral:lncRNA from 1 species
UGUGCAAAUAUGAGCACAGUCCCUCCACAAUGAAAAAAGAAAAACAGAUAUAGCUUUUAUUUUGAAAAGCAUCCAAGGAGUGUUGAUUCAUAACCCCCAAUUUCCACCGCAUCCGGAAUGGCUACGAAAAGGCCGUAUCUGCCGAUCGCAGCUGAUCAUAACCAUUCAAGAUAACGUGUCAAUUUCCACCAUCCUGAGGAUCGCCGGACUCCACAGCUGAUCGCAAGACUUCUCUUUUUUUUUCGGCUGCUGGAGCAUGCCAGAUAAAUUCAGCUUUCCUGGAAAGGAAGUCGGGCACAGACACAAAAUAAAACCGGCUUCUUUUCAAAAUAAUGCAAAAAAAAAAUGCAAACAGGCGGGGACAAACAAGUGAAGAGUUUAUGGACAGCAUUUCAUCCCAAUGACACAAUGGAUGAGGAGAUGCUGAUGUUAGAAGUCUAGAAGUAGAUUUCCUUCUCCGGAAGGACACAAUCUACCGCUUAUACGGUUAGCCUAUGUGGCUAAAGACAACUUGUUAUCGUGGGAUUGCACGUGAAUCCGCAAGUUCUUAUGAGUUCUUGUGAGUUCUCAUGAGUUCUCACAAUUCCUGCUGUCCCUAAUCCGCCACGAAAUUCACCUCACAAACGGAUCCAGUAGGAAUUGGCAUACAGCGAAAAUUGCCACCAUUCUGCUUUGUGUUGGAAAUCCCGGGUAAGUCAUGUAGCUGAUUCAAAACAUAUGUGGCCCCUAAUUUUAGCGUUUUUUAAUCUAUUUGGCCAAGAUUCAUACACAGUUUGUCAAAAAAGUAAACAAGCCUUCCAUUAUCCAGGUUUUCAGCACAAUGAGAUAGACAGCAGACCCUCAUCACCAGCAUGCAGUCUGAAUACUCCGUUAUUUGUCAACUCACACUUCUCCUUGUUAGUCUUGGUCUAAGUUAGUUAUAUUCAAAACACAGUUUUUGCGCUGCUGGUUUAAAAUCUUUUAGCCACAGUUUUAAAUCACAUUUCUAAUGAAUGAGUCCUGAAUGAAAGCUAAUUGGGAUCCAAUAUAAAAAGGCAGUGACCACCUCCACAUCGGCUUUUGUCCCCCUGAAUGAGAUGCCGCUCUUACCCGUGAUUUAAAUGUGUUUCCUGGUUGGGUGAAGCACAUCUUCGAGCCCACUAACAACCAGCAUGCUAGCUCUCGCAGCUCAUUAGCUCGGCCUCCUCUCACUCACACACAUCUUUUAGAGACUCCACACCACAGCAGGGGGACUGACUGGGAUAAAUAAGGAAUAAUCAAGGAAUCGUUCUGGCUGCGAGCUGACCUGAAUAUGAGGCUCCAUGCCAUCACUGGGAAUCAACCGGCACAGUGCUACCAUUAUAAUGAAUGGAGAGAACCGAAAAGAGAGACCUGCGGUAAAAUCACACUAAUGCUGGAGGAGGAGGUCGCUCUUUAGUGGUUGAGCUCACGCAGAGCUUGUUUUAGUACAACUCCUGCAUGCUGUGAUGUCCACCCAGAGUCUAUGUUUGGAGCAUCAUUUGGACAAACAGAAUGUGUUUUGGUUUAAAAAGCAGUCAAGGAGGGUGCAGAUGUGAGCCGUUGCAGGGGACUUGCUCUAAAAAAGUAACUCAUCCUACUCCAAGCCUUCACACUGGUGGCUGACUUAGUUUCUCAGCAGCUUCCCAGCAGCAAACAUGAAAGACAUCUGGUGCGGAGAAACCGACCAGAUGAGAGGAACAAAGAAGGAAGACGGUGAAGGGGGAAGCAAACUGAAUUUUAAUGUAACCCUUCAAAAGGUAGCAUAAAUACACACACCAGGCAUUAAAUUUAAUAGAGAUUGUGAUGAAUGAUUACAGGGAGUAAAGUGGAAAUCGAAAUUUCCUGGAAAUUCUAAAAAGUUUCACGCUGGUUUUUUAAAUUAUUUCUAUACAGAAGCAAAUCACAAACAAGUGACACAAAAAGCAGGGGUAGACCCGUGCUCUGUUACAGAGGUUUAAAUGUGGGGUAGGCAGGGUCUGAGGAAAUGCCAGUUUUUGGGAGAAAUCUUGAAUGUAAACUCUACCCCUCCCAACCAGUUUUCCUCUCCCCUCCGUCUCUGCCCCAGUAAGCCACAAACAGACGCUCCUGCUCACUCGUAUCAUUUCAAUUAUAUUCAGAUAUAAUGCAGAUAAAUACUUCAGAUAAUUACAAAUGGGGCCCAGUCAACGUGAAAGUAAAAAGCAUUGGUGCUACUGUAGCUGCUGACAGACGACCAGCAAACUCAAUGUUUGCAGGACUUCUACAACUAGGAUAAAGUGACAUAGUCCAGGACCCGAGGUCAACAGUUUAGCGGCGCUACAACACGCAGCAGGUCCAGUUUGACAAGAAACACUUCUGUCACAGACACUUGGCUUACUUUGUUAAAGAGGUUUACCUGCCCAGCAGAAAGGUUACAGGGUCUCUAAGAUCCUGAAGCAUCCCCCAUCGUAGAUGCUGAUGUUGACCCAUCUUUUCAGCUCUUGUCCGGUCUACCUCCUUUAUUUACUCUCCGGUAUUUACUUUGUUUUCUUGCUUGUGUUGGCAAGGAGAAUUCCUGCCUACCUCACCUUUAACAGGAAUCAACCAGGGUUCUUUCACCAUUUCUAAAUGUCUUUGAGAGGCUGUGUCUCUGAGGAUUUUUGCAUUUGCCACCAUGAAGCCAUCCAAAUGUAUGUUUUUCUCCAGCUAUUAACAACCUGUAGCUCAGCCUCACUGCUCACUGUGUUCCUAAGAGCUCGAUAAACUUCCAGUUUAUGUAAGACCCAUGUACCUUACUGGGCAUUCAAAGUUAAAAGGCAGUAUUUAUCGAUUACAUGAGGAAUCCUUUUAGUGCUGCACACAGGAACAGUUCGUACCUGUUUGUCCUUGAAAACAAAGCUGUUUCACCGUCUGCUUUUGUCAUUUAAGAGCACGCUUUGUCUCUUCAUUUCUUCUUUCCCUGAAAAAAACGCCUCUUAAAAAGCAGAAACCUCACACAGAUCGAUAGAUAGAGAAGGAGACAGACACAGAACAACAACGAGAGAUAAUACAGGUUUAAAGCAGCCGUGACAAUAGUGAAAGAAGGAAUUUGUUCUAUCCCAGCUCUCAUAAUUUAGUUAACUCAGUGCAUUUUCUCUUUUUCAGCCUCCUCUUGUCACAAAUUUCUCUCCAACCUGACAGGCAGGUCCUCCCAAAGUUCACAAAGCCAUGACACGUCUGUGCAGUAUCAGAUCAGGUAUCUUCCUCAACCAGGAUAAUACUUCAUGUACAGGACACUCGUUUUCUAGUCAACUUUCAGCUGAGAGCCACCGCCGCUCCCUGUCCAUCCAUCAUCUCCUGACCUUCAGUGCUGUGCCCUGACGGCUGCCCGGGGCACGGGGAGAGUGACUAAUGUGGUCUCAGCCGCCACCUCCCCGCACUAAAGGCCCCCGGUAUCCGUCCAGUAUUAUCCGACCCCGGCGUCUACAGAUUUCUAUCUCUACUCCCAGCUUUAAUUAUUCACGCUGCUGAAUCACACUCUCACCAGAGAGAUAGCCAGACUGCCUGUCCUCUCCCUCUCCCUGAUCUUAUCUACCUGGCUGUGUGACACUAUCUCAUCCUUCUAUUAUAGAUCAGAGAAGACAACUGCUGUGCUCCAAAAGUAGAGUUUUCAGUCAAUUAUAGAGCCAAGGCGAGCGAGGCUGACAUUUUACAUGUGGACAGAGGUUUAACAACAAUGACGGUCUAACAGAAGAUCCAAGAACUCUAUCUUCAUUAACAAUAGAUGUCAGUAUUAUCCAAGUAAUGUGCACAUUAGAUGGUUUAAAUGCAUCUAAAAUCUUUUGCCAUGUUUUACCAACAUAAGCAGCGAGAUUACUUAAAUUGGAUAACUGUCAAUACAAAUUAACAGUGGGGCUGCUAUCAGUGAGACAGUGUCUGAAAGUGGGCUCUCUUGCAUCUAUAUUGUAGUUUAUUCAAGUAUGGGUCCACCUAAUGAGGGUUUGCUUUAAAGGGAUAUUCUGGCAUAAAAUUAAUUUAGGGUCAAACACACUGUGACACCAAGUUAGACACCCCAUUAAGAGAUGAAUGUUGCCGACUGCUUGCUUCUCUAGUUAUAUCAACUUAAGUAACGACCGCACGAUAGCAAUACACAGCGAUCUGAGGAGCCAUAAACAAACCUCAACCAAAACGCCACUCUGUAGACACAAAUAAUGCUCAGAACAGCACCUAACUUCAUCAACGGUACAUAUAGGGUCCCAGCCACAGCACUAGCCACCAAACAUCUUUAUAGCUUUGCCUAAUUUCUUCAGCAAAGAGACUAAACACAACUCACCUGCUCUCUUCCAGCAGCUGCCUAUUUGUGGCAAGACCUCAACCACAACAGCAAUUGUCAAACUGCAACAACUCAAAAUGACAUCAGAUGGUCAAAAGUGAGUUUACUUUUUUAACACGAACAGCACAGAAUAUUUGCUUUGUUUUAGACCCUGAGAAGAAGACCAUAAAGAUCUGCAGGUAAUCUAGGAAGAGAGACGUUUAAGACAUUCACACUGUGAGUGCUAGGUGAUUGGUUUUACAUGUAAAAAUAAGACUGUAAACCUGGAAUAUGUGCUGCACAUGUAACCAUGUUAGCAUGCUAGUUCUGAAAUGUUGAAGAUGUGACCCUGAACACAGUUUUCUGUCAUAUCCUGUCUGCAGCUCUGUGAGAUAAGCCAGACUUACUGUAGUUAGAUGAAAAUCUGUUAGCUUUAAUCUGUUUCUAAGAUUUUGAAAUGUUUCCUCUGUGUGGCUCAGCUCAGACUAAAGUGUUUCUGAGCUCACUUAAAGUUGAUAAAGGUGAUCUCUAACAGCCAAAACGUGUAAAUAUCCAAAGAGCUUCAUUGGAGAAUUGGACAAACUGAGUCUGAACUGAAAUACAAGCUAACAUGCUAAAGUUAGCUUCUUUUAGUGGUAGUGCUCAUCUCCUGAGUUUGCCUACCUCUGCAGCUUCUCAGUCACGGCAGUAUUGCUCUCGAUAUGGUUUAUCAUUGUGGUCACAUGCAUCCUUCCUGUGGUGCUGGGAAUAAAAUAUCAUGACUUUCAUUACUCUGAAGACGCCUCUGCAUGCGUAAAAGCUUUUGGUUGUAUUAUCAUAAGAUAAUCCUGAAAUUUCAGUUCCACACACCCUUUCGUUCACACACCUCACCCAUAUUCAACCUCUGCGUUCCUCACGCCCCGGGCUGGGACCAUGGAUCUUAUUUCCUCCUGACAGGUCCAGGACAGAGGAGGGGAGGACGGCUCAUUUUUUGGCCACUCUGAGGAGGAUGAGGGGGGGUUGAGGAGGACACAGGAUGAGCUGCCAGAUUGACAGGCCGAUGGGGCUGUCGCUGGGGGCCGAGGUGUAGAGAUGUUCGGGGAGUUGGCGUUUGUGGCUCAAAAGAUAAGCAUCAGUGAGAAUAUGAGAGGCUAGAUGGUAAUCUUGCACAGGAAGUCAGGCUAUACCAUUGCAGAAGAAACCACAGGAGAGAGGCUGACCUUGUGCGCUUGUGCUCGGCUGCAGCGCUCUUUUAGAGGCCUCAGACUGGCUGCAGACAGGAAGGUCCUCUGACAGAUGACUGCUUGGCUGAAAUGCAAACAUUAAGGGUCUGAUCUACUUAAGGUUUGCAUGUGCAAAAACACGUACAAACUUGAUAGUGCACGCAAACCUGAUCUACUAACCAGAUGCACAGAGGAUUGCGUCUGUCAACUGAGUAAAAUACCAAGCGCAACAAUUUAUCGUGUUUGCCUUCAUGAUUAUGCAGAAUAUAUGUAGAUCAUUAGAAUCUGCAAAAUUCUGGGAGGAGCAGAUGCAAAUGGGGUCAUUUAGCACCUGCAAUGUGAUUUAUCAAAACCAGAAACCAAUUGUGGUCGCUGUUUUGUGUCUAUACUAAGCACGUUUGAAAGGCACGUGUGAACUGGCACAGCAAUAUGUGUGGUCAUUGUGGGGAGAAGGAGGCAGAAGUGCCAUGAUAGACACCACGAUUCUUGUCUAAAAGCUUUUCGUUGUUCUGGUAAAUGAUUUUCAUAAACAAUAAGGUCAAACACAGAACAGAAAAGAAAAGAUUUAUCUGUUUGUCUUAUUGAUUUAAAAAAAAUUUAUCCCUUUUUUGAUUUCUAAUAUAUUUUCUUGCAUCUGUAAAACACUUUGAGUUGCCUUGUGUAUGAAUGAUUUUAUAAACUUGCCUUGUUUGCCUUUUACGCAGUUCCCCAAAACGAUAUGUGCAACUCCACGGCUUCAAACUUCAAUUUUGGCUACGACCGCUCUGCUCUCCCAAACUCUCAAUGGUGACAGCUGAUAGCGCACGCAAAAUCCUCGUUCAAAGAGGGCGGUCCACACGACUUUUGUGCUUGUUAUCAAUUGAGCACGCACAGAUAGUAGAUCCCCCGAAACACGCCCACCUAUAGCUUGUGCAUUUUUUUUUGUUUGCAUGCGCAAUUUAGCGUUCACUAUUUGGGAUCAUGUAGUAGAUCAGGCCUUAAGAGUUUUAUGACAAUAGAGAUGGUGCUUAAAAAAGCUUGUCCUGGUACUGAUAUCCAAAUUAAUGAUUAAAACCAAAAUUUGAACUUAAUCUCUAACUUUGGGACCGUUCAUUUCUUCAGUGUUUUAGAUGAAGUCAAGGCAAAUUUUAAAACAGUUGCAGCUCAUUAAAGGGUGAAAACACAAUCAUUAUAGUUAAAAUUAUGAGAAAACAGCUAAAAUGAAGUUCCAAAACAAUUGUCAGGAUUUCAAACUUAACUGGGAUUAAAAACAAACACAGAGAUGGACUGGAGCAAAGAUUUAAAACCUUUUAGUGUGUUAUAAUAAUUAUCUUAAAAUGUUCGAAAGAUGUAUUUAUGUAGCCCACUCUUGAUAUAUUGAGAAUAUUGUAAAAAUAAAUCACAGAGACAGAGGAAAUAAAAAAAAAACCUAAAACAAUGUAAUGUGACUGAAACUAGAUCAAUUGUUCUGUUCUGUUUGACCGCAAAAGUGUUCUCCCCUCCCUGGGUUCGGAAGUUGCCUGAAAUACCGCCAGGAGUUUUUCAUCAAGUCGGAGGUCACAGUUUUUGAAGGUUGGAGAAUGAAGCUUUCAAGUCAAAUAUCACCCGUAUAAUUUCCUGGACCAGCGGCAAGGUUUAAAAUAAGAAUGAGUAAUGUUCACCAUUCUGCCCUUAAACACUGUCAGUGUGCCCUGUUCAUGGUCCAAUAAAACUCACCCUCGAAUAUGAGCCUGAAAAUAGUCUCAGCGUGACUCAGCAGAUUCCUCUUCUGCCUUAUUUUAGCCACAUUUUAACUAAUGCCACUAGAUUAAACACGAUGCCUUUAUCUGACAAGAAUUUUAUUCAUUUGUCAACAAGGAUAGAGGGUGUAAAACAAUACUAGAGAAUAUGAUAGAAUACUAUGCAAUACAAUGCCGUACCAUACGAUAUGUCAAACAAUAAUAAAUAAUAAAAGUGAUGUAAGAAAUUAUGAGAUCGCUUAUUCCUGUGUUCAUCUGGCUGAAUCACAGACCAAGAAUCGGAUACCAAAUUCUUCAGCUGACAAAAAAAUAGAGAUGGGAUGGCACUUCUGAGUUUAAAGGAUUAUUACAUUGCUGCUCAAUUAAGGCCAUUAAAAUAUAGGAGCAAUCCAGAGUACUAUUGUGCCAGAUGGAGAGAGAUUGAGGGAGCUACGACAGACAAAUCUCCAGUUCAAGCGGCAAUUGGGGACAUAAAGUUGCUGAUUUAGGAAAUUCAUGGAUUAAGGUUUUGCUUAAAUGGUGGAACAAGGUAAAAGUUCAAAAUCAUUUAAAAGAGGCUGUAAAAGUUUUGAGAUUGUGUGUUUAAUCCAGAUUUUGUGCCUAAAAGCUGGGACAUGGAUUGACUGCAUAUUGCACUUUUUUGGAUAAGGGAGUAAUGACUCACUGAAAAUUUGAGGAGGCAGUUUGACCCGAAUAAGGAUGGUUUUUACAGGUAUUUUCCAGUUCAUCAUCAUAUUAUACCCAUAUGGAAAGGAAAUCAGUGUACUGGGGUAACAUUUAUUAAAAGCCUUUAUAGAUGAAGUUGAACACAAACCAAAAACAACCUCAGGCUUUUUAAAGGUUGACUACAAAAAAAGGCAACUCAUUUUAUGCUACACGAAAAUAGGAGAGGGAACGUAACCUAGCUGUAAAUGAGGAAGAGUGGGAGAAUUUAUGUGAAAAUUCAACAGAAAACUUUCAAUUCAACAUUAUGCUGAGAGUUUUGCUGGAAAAACCUUGUGAGGUUUUUCAUUACUCCAUCCCAAAAAUGACAUUAUAACAGUUCCUCCAAAUGCUGGAGAGUGUUGGAGCCUUGAGGCAAAUCAUUUUCAUAUAUUCUGGUCUUGUGCUUCUUUGAUUCUUUUCUGGAAAGAGGUUUCGUAAAAUUUUGAGUAAAGUCUUUUAAAUACAUAUUCCAUUUGAGAUGCAUUGUCAUAUUGCCUUAUCCUCAGAAAACUUUUCCUCAAAAGACGAGUAUUUAUUCCAGAUUUUUAAGUGCUGUGAGUAAGAAAGCAAUUACAAGGAGAUGGUAGAAACCUGGAACACCCUCAGUAGAUGAUUGGAUUGACAUCAUACACCCUGACAGUUCUGUUUACUCUAUGUUCUCAUUAAGUUUUCUAGUUCUGUCUAUUUUUGGUUUCUUAUUUUGUAUUUGGCAAAAGUCCAGUGAGUUUCUUUUGAUAUGAAACUAUUUGUGAAAGAUUUUUGUUUCUCACAAACAGAUGGUAGUGAGUAUGAUGUAAGGAGAGCUUUUUAUAUGUGUGGACUAAAGAUUACAAUAAAAACAGAAUUUAAGAAAAAAUAAGAUAAUUUUAGAUAACAGAGGAUGUCCUGUAUUGUCCCUCUGUCUUAGUUACAGGUGUCUCCACAGAAUUUGAUAAAGACCUGCGCUCUUAAAAUGACCAGGAUACCAAAGAUGUGAUGAAAACGGUCUCAUCUUUCUGAGAAAACUCUGACAUUGACAGCAAAAUUGGAAGCUGAUCUUUCCUAAGUGUUUACUUUUCAUGAAAUGAAAAUAUUAAACCUCUGUUAAAUAUUACCCCGAAAGGUUAAGCUUGGGAAAACACCGUCACAAAUUGGAUUUUGGGUUCACCACCGUGUUUGAUAUGAAAAUGAAACCAGAUGAGGAUCUAAUGAAGAUGAAAAUGUCACCCUGCGUCUCUCAGAUGUUGAAAUGUCACCGUGUG